rnacentral:misc_RNA from 1 species
CGUACUGGAAAGUGCGGCUGGAUCACCUCCUUUCUAAGAGAAAGAUAAACUAAGGCUAAUUCCAUUAACUCUUCCCUACUCUUUUCUUUUGAUAAGAGAGUUUUUAAAACCAGUGUUAUUUUUGUAAGUUUAAGAGAAGUUUGUGUAUUGAAUUUUUUAUUUUUAAUAUUAAAGAGCUUUGUUAAACUUAGACUUAAGUUUAGGUCAUUUUGGGGGUUUAGCUCAGUUGGCUAGAGCAUCGGCUUUGCAAGCCGAGGGUCAAGGGUUCGAGUCCCUUAACCUCCAUUGGGCUUAUGUCCUAAAUUGUAAUUAAGUAUGUUUUUAAGCAACUUUGUUAAAGUAAUUGUUAGAAUGUGAAACAGAGAAAGUUAAAAUUUCUGGGUUAAGUUGAGAUCUGUUGAUAUUAAGAAGAAUCUCUAGAAGCAAAAGCAAGCUUUCGAUAAAACCCGAAGUUGUUUCGCUAAAGUGCAAGGAUUAAACAGGAUUGUAUUUUCCAGCAGCCUAUUUUAUAAACGAUCUGCAUUUAGUAAAUAGUUUUUAGUUAAGAAAUAAUGUAGAUUGCUAAGUGUGAUGUCUGAAAGAAGGAC